UCCCCGUUUCCGGGGCAGUAUGAUUAGAAAAAUACAACUAAUCACAAGGGUUGCGCUCGUUGAUGGACUUAACCAAACAUCUCACGACACGAGCUGACGACGGCCAUGCAUCAUCUGUCACCAAGUUCAAUAAAGCACUCACUCCUUUCGGAGUAAUUCUUGGGAUGUCAAGCCCUGGUAAGGUUCUUCGUUUAGCAUCGAAUUAAAGAACAUGAUCCACCGCUUGUGCGGGUCCCCGUCAAUUCCUUUAUGUUUUAGUCUUGCGACCGUACUCCACAGGCGGGAUACUUAACGCGUUAGCUUCGCUACUGAAGGGGUCGAUACCUCCAACAGCUAGUAUCCAUCGUUUACGGCGUGGACUAC
rnacentral:misc_RNA from 1 species